UUUUCUGCACAAAUUAAUCAGUUAAUGCAUAGAAAGCAUUCAACUAGUGAUUGUGUUAUAAGAG
ensembl:miRNA MIR4272 microRNA 4272